UGAGGAAUAUUGGUCAAUGGACGAGAGUCUGAACCAGCCAAGUAGCGUGCAGGAUGACGGCCCUAUGGGUUGUAAACUGCUUUUAUAUGGGAAUAAAGUGAGGGACGUGUCCCUUAUUGCAUGUACCAUAUGAAUAAGGACCGGCUAAUUCCGUGCCAGCAGCCGCGGUAAUACGGAAGGUCCAGGCGUUAUCCGGAUUUAUUGGGUUUAAAGGGAGCGUAGGCUGUUUGUUAAGCGUGUUGUGAAAUGUAAGAGCUCAACUUUUAGAUUGCAGCGCGAACUGGCAGACUUGAGUGCGCACAACGUAGGCGGAAUUCAUGGUGUAGCGGUGAAAUGCUUAGAUAUCAUGACGAACUCCGAUUGCGAAGGCAGCUUACGGGAGCGCAACUGACGCUAAAGCUCGAAGGUGCGGGUAUCGAACAGG
rnacentral:rRNA from 1 species